UCAGGAUGCUGGGCACUCCAAUGCCUCUCAUUAAAAUGAAGUGGGUCCACUUUACAAGCUGAGACUUUAAGAAAAGCACCAAAUAUCAUGAGUUGGCAACCCUGAGAAUAAGCAUGCACUUGAAUUAACACUUGUGGCUGGACGAGGGAAGUAUCCAUUUCAUCAUAAGAGCAAAUGAGUCAUGCAGAUGCUAUUGCGUUUUGGAGCACGGUACAUUUGCGCUCCUUAUGGCCGUCCUGAGCGCCUACUGUAUGUGUGAUACAAAUCUGAAGACAUUUGCCAAAUCUCCUGGUCCCAGGCAAUAGUGGAAAAUUAUCUGCAUAAUAAACCAGCAAGAAACCUCUUUGCAAAUUCUGCAGUGUUAUCUCCAGUAGGGAUGGUAUGAUUUCCUCUUAGUGGCUCUCUCUUGCAAUGGGCUUCACACUUAAAAACACUGCUUUACACCAUGGCAAUGUGUGAGAGAGAUACCUGAGGCUUGUAUUAACCCGGUUUAUGUCUGAGAACGCUUGUCAUUCAUUCACCCUGCUGAAAGCUUUGAAGUUAACUUUUUGUUUUAAUUUACAAUAUAUCUUUGUUUUCGAUACAACAGUACCAGCUAAAUAAACAUGGACUGGAAAUUCUGCUUUGAAAUAGGGCUCUCUAAAAAUGGCAUUACCAGCAGACGUUCCUGAAACAACGUUAGAUCAAUUGUGCUGCAUUUACACAUGAAAAGAUUUUUGUUUUUUCUAACAUCAAGCCCUGUAAACUCAGCCUCUGAGAGUUAAGCUGGGUUCUCAUUUUUGUGGAUCAUUGCUAGUAAUGAAGGUUUUGCAAACCAAAUUAGUCCCUCUGUAAUACCAAUGCAAUCCCUUUUACCCUCAUUGGUCAU